rnacentral:lncRNA from 1 species
CUUUUGUUGUAGAAAAGUUCGUGCUGAUCCCUGUCUGUCAUGAUUACUUGGGCUGGAGGUGAAGACAUGGCAUUAGCAGGCAGUAGUUUUUCAACAGAUACUGGUACCGUCAGAAGUCCUGUUAUACAGAAAAGAAAAUGAUUUUCCCAAGGCGGAAAAGUAAUCCAUGGAAGGAUUAGGAUUAAAAUUCAGUAGUAUCUGAACAUUCACAUCCUUUGAGUCCUGACUCCCUCCUGCGAAUUGUCUCCACGCUACCUUACUCUCUACGCCCUCAAUGGAAAGAAACUCCUUAAGUGGAACUCAUCAGUAGUGGUAGUUAAUAAUGAAGUAAAACAAUGCUGGCGC